GACCUCUGAUCAGAGAAGACUACCCGCUGAGUUUAA
rnacentral:rRNA from 1 species